rnacentral:rRNA from 1 species
GAUGAACGCUGGCGGCGUGCCUAAUACAUGCAAGUCGAGCGAACAGAUAAGGAGCUUGCUCCUUUGACGUUAGCGGCGGACGGGUGAGUAACACGUGGAUAACCUACCUAUAAGACUGGGAUAACUUCGGGAAACCGGAGCUAAUACCGGAUAACAUAUUGAACCGCAUGGUUCAAUAGUGAAAGGCGGCUUUGCUGUCACUUAUAGAUGGAUCCGCGCCGUAUUAGCUAGUUGGUAAGGUAACGGCUUACCAAGGCAACGAUACGUAGCCGACCUGAGAGGGUGAUCGGCCACACUGGAACUGAGACACGGUCCAGACUCCUACGGGAGGCAGCAGUAGGGAAUCUUCCGCAAUGGGCGAAAGCCUGACGGAGCAACGCCGCGUGAGUGAUGAAGGUCUUCGGAUCGUAAAACUCUGUUAUCAGGGAAGAACAAAUGUGUAAGUAGCUGUGCACAUCUUGACGGUACCUGAUCAGAAAGCCACGGCUAACUACGUG